CUCGUACUCCCUCCGUUUCAAAAUUUUUGUCUUAGAUUUGUCUAGAUACGGAUGUAUCAAGUCACAUUUUAGUAUUAGAUACAUCCGUAUCUGGAAAAAUCUAAGACAAGAAAUUUGGGACAGAGGGAGUACCUA
rnacentral:pre_miRNA from 1 species